rnacentral:lncRNA from 1 species
GUGGCUGCUUAUUAAUUAAAAGGAUUGUGGUAAAGUGCACAUCUCACAGAAGUCCCCAUCCUAGGCAUGUUUGAGUGUCGCUCGGUGGUAUUAAUUACGCUCAGUUGUGGUGCAACCGUCACAGAGGCGCGCGCGGGGACCUGCCGGUGCCGGCACUCAUUAGUUUCUAUUUUUUAAUUAUCAGAGAAGCUUCCUUGUGAUAGUUCGUUGUGGCGAGCAUGUCCACUUCCGGGUAAAGUGCAGGGAUGCUGUGCCAGAGGAAUACGAGUGAAAGGCGAGACAGCGAUGAGACCCUGGGUAGCUUAUGUUCGGCAGCUGCAGGUGAGCCGUGCUGCGAAUACAGGUUUAAGCUGUGGUCGCACUGCGGUUCGGAGUAUUCCCUGACAGGCGUGCUGAAGUCACCCACGGCCCCCUGAGUGCGACUUUACUUGGAAAACAGGUCUUUGAGGAAAGAAGUACCUGUGCUCAUGGCUCGUGAUUCACACCUGCGAAGAUACAGGACCCGCCGCCAUCCCCCCAGGGGGAGCAGGAUGAGGACCCUCAGGGGAGGAGCCGGGUAGCAGGCCGCCCGACUCCCAUCCGGUUCUGAGGUGCUUGGGGUUCACCAGAGCAGCCAGCGGUGGAAGCAGCCCGAUCUCAGUUCCAAUGCGAGGCAGCCUUGCUGAAGGGUGGAAGAGAACGAGAAAGCCAGCCACGCCUUGAGCACAGGCGUCUCCUUCACUGCUCCCAGAGCCAAAAUUCCCUCCACUCCAGCAGAGAGAGCCAGGAAGGGUGGAAACCAGAAGGGCUCUCAGUUCGGUGCAACCCAGCUGUGUGUGUUGUUCAACCACAGACUGCAGAAUCUGACCACCCUAACUAGCGAAGAAGACAUGAGUCCCCUGCAAUUUGCCGAGUUGAGGAUCACCGCUGCUUGAUUUUGGAGCUGUUUCAAGGUCAGAAUGCCCAGGAACCAGACUCCAGGAUUGAGAUUUGUGUGUAGCUAUUUUACUGGGAAAUGCCCUAGGAAGGACCCUGAAGGGAUGGAAGACAGUAGGAUCCCACAGCAGGACCCCGUGAACUUGAUGGAGGAGUGCCUUUAGCAUUUCACUACUGUCAUUUAUUUUUGGAUUCAUCCAACAUUUACCAAGCACGUUCAAACUGCUAGAUUCUGUACAAAGUGCUGGGGAUACAAGGCCAAGAGGACAUAACGUCUGACCCUCAAGAAUUUAAAUUAACAGGGAUUGGACCCAGGGCUGAAGGUCCUUUGCCCUCUCUGCCUCGAGGGCCUUGGUGACAAGAAUGCACAGGAGCCAGCGUCCAGCAGAGCAGGGAGCACGCCCUGGCUCCUUGGUGUCCCCUGUGCUGAGCGGAGCAGGAG